GGACCAGUAGCUCAGCUGGAUAGAGCAACGGCCUUCUAAGCCGUGUGCCGGGGGUUCGACUCCCUUCUGGUUCACCA
rnacentral:tRNA from 1 species